AAAACUUUCAAACAACGGAUCUCUUGGUUCCAGGAUCGAUGAAGAACGCAGCGAAAUGCGUAACUAAUGUGAAUUGCAGAAUUCAGUGAAUCAUCGAGUCUUUGAACGCACAUUGCGCCCCUCGGUAUUCCGGGGGGCAUGCCUGUUCGAGCGUCAUU
rnacentral:rRNA from 1 species